rnacentral:rRNA from 1 species
CCCCUAGAUGUUCUGGGCCGCACGCGCGCUACACUGAACAGUUCAACAAGUCUUAACCUUGGCCGAUAGGUCUGGGUAAUCUUUGAACGCUGGUCGUGAUGGGGAUAGACUUUUGCAAUUUUUGGUCUUCAACGAGGAAUUCCUAGUAAACGCAAGUCAUCAACUUGCAUUGAUUACGUCCCUGCCCUUUGUACACACCGCCCGUCGCACCUACCGAUUGAAUGGUCCGGUGAAGCCUCCGGAUUGGCGCGCACCUCGGUGCCGCCGAGAAGUUGGCUAAACCUUNCNAUUUAUNGGAAGGUGAANUCGUANCA